AGUGAACGCUGGCGGUAGGCCUAACACAUGCAAGUCGAACGGCAGCACAGGAGAGCUUGCUCUCUGGGUGGCGAGUGGCGGACGGGUGAGGAAUACAUCGGAAUCUACUUUUUCGUGGGGGAUAACGUAGGGAAACUUACGCUAAUACCGCAUACGACCUACGGGUGAAAGCAGGGGACCUUCGGGCCUUGCGCGAUUGAAUGAGCCGAUGUCGGAUUAGCUAGUUGGCGGGGGAAAGGCCCACCAAGGCGACGAUCCGUAGCUGGUCUGAGAGGAUGAUCAGCCACACUGGAACUGAGACACGGUCCAGACUCAUACGGGAGGCAGCAGUGGGGAAUAUUGGACAAUGGGCGCAAGCCUGAUCCAGCCAUACCGCGUGGGUGAAGAAGGCCUUCGGGUUGUAAAGCCCUUUUGUUGGGAAAGAAAUCCAGCUGGCUAAUACCCGGUUGGGAUGACGGUACCCAAAGAAUAAGCACCGGCUAACUUCGUGCCAGCCGCCGCAGUAA
rnacentral:rRNA from 1 species